rfam:Oleiphilus sp. HI0009 HI0009_c1140, whole genome shotgun sequence.
UGGGGUAUCGCCAAGCGGUAAGGCAACGGGUUUUGAUCCCGUCAUGCGGAGGUUCGAAUCCUCCUACCCCAG